UAUUUCUUUGUCUAGAGUCUGGACAUACCCAAGACCAAGCAGAAAGAGAUGUUUACAACUUUACACCGACCUCCGUUGUUACACCCAAAUACCCAAAUCGUUGAUCACAAUCGUGCCACUACCCCGAUUCUUCCAUGUCUUCCACUGCUGUAUAAGUGACAUUGAAAGAGUUUGGUUCGUUGCUUUUGAUCGGUGAAUUUGGAUUUGCUUUUUCUCUUUCUGCUCAUUAUCCCCUUUAAUUUCAGUUCAGAGGGUUGAAUCGUUUGUUGGUUGUGUAUUCUAUGUUUUUUUCAAUGUGUGAUUUUGUGAUAAUGCAGUUUUCGUUGGGUCUUUUAUCAUGGCCAUGUUCUUCUUUCUGAAAUCAUAUAUAUCAAUAUAUGUGUUUGAUCUAUUCACUUUUUGUUCAUAUAUCCAAAGUUAUUGCGUUUGAUUUUAACGGUAUUAUUAUCUUUCUGAAAGCGAUUGAUCUGAAAUCUGUUUUCUGUUGUUUGCAAACUCUAUCAAAGUUCAAACACUGAGAUGCAAAGGAGGAGACCACGAAUCAAUUUGUGUUUGUUUUGGAAAAGAAGGAAUUUCUCAACUCUGGAAGCUUGAAAAUUUGCUGUAUUGCUUCUUCCUGUGAGAAAUUGGGUUUAAAACAGAACAGCAGCUAAAGUGCCAAAGCUCCAGAGUUUAAACUCAAGGGGAAAUGUUCUAGACGGUUAGAGAGGUACAGUUAAGAGUUUGGAAGACAGGUUGUGCUAUUUAGACUUUUGUUGUGCUAUCUACAACAACUCAGCUGAAAUUUCAAAGGAGCUAUCAUCUGUUGCAAAUGAUGAAUCUGACUUUGUAGACACAUUUGAGUAGCUUAUGUAAAAUAGUUGGUCACCACUACAAGCCUAAACCAUUCGAAAUCUGGCUAAGUUACCAGAUUUUUGAACGUGUAAAAUAAUAUAUAAGAUAUAAUGUAGUAAUGUAAUAUAAACAAAUGUUACUAAAUUCAGUAGCAUUGAA